UAAUUCGAGCUUUGCUAGACUUUGAACUCAGACUCCUUUUGAAUUGCGGUUUUUGUCACCACGAUAGCGCAUACGUUCCCUGUGAUACUAAGAAGAUAGUUAAUUUGUAGUUAUCUUUAGAGCGAAUUUGUCUCAACAACUACAGAUAAGGAAGUAGACAUGCUUUCAAACUUUUCUUUAAAUUUUUAUAGAACCAGCUGAUUUAAACCCUGCUCCACCAACAAAUGAAAACGUUGCCGCGAUGGUGAGAAGUUGGUUUCGAGCAGUGGUUGGGAAGUAUGAAUCGAGGAAGAUAAACUAUCAAGGACGAGUCAUUUCUUGCUUUCUCCGCUAUAGAUUUCACGACUUGGUAGAUCUUUUUGUGUAUGAUGGCAUAGUGUGGGACAUUGAGAGUGGCAUGGAGGAGAAAUCAAUGCAUCACAAAUCAGGCGAGGAAGCUAUUGAGCAUGCACUACGAAAACUUAAGAAAAGAUUACAUGAUGAAGGAGUUUUUAACAAUGACAAUGAAUAACUACCUUUUGUAACCGACCUUAUGUGUUAGCCUUGGUUUUUUUUCAUUCCAAUGUAUCACCUAAGUAUGAAUACCUUUUUAUCAAGCACAAAGUAUAAGAAGCGUGUUGUUGUAAAGAUACAGUUUUAUUGAAUUCAUAAUCUUAAGAUUUCUUAUAACCCAUGUUUAUUGUUUUUAUCUUUAAAAGUUUUUAAGAUAGCCAUUUACGUUAUUCAGAGCAGUCACGUUUCCCACGAUUGUACUUGUUUUAUUUGUUUUUAGCAAUUCUGUGGUAGUUUUGCUUCAUUUAAGCACAGAUCAAGCUUCCAGAGAGUGUUCAGGGCCUUAGGGCGCCUGGCCUAAUAGGCUAGACUGGAGAGUUCCAGGGUAAAUUUUUCGGAGCUCUAGAGCUGUGGAUGGGGUCAAAAAAUGAAAAAGCAUCUUCUGACAAGCCUAGGAACCAAUUUCUCAGAGAUGCCUA